CGCCGCUGCUGCCCCGCCAUCUCCAUCCACCAUGUGGCGGCUCGUCCUCCAGGUGCCAGCCGCUCCCUAGGGCACCAUCAGCCAGCGGUGCAUUGGAGAGCGGGUGAGCGCCACGUGGCGCGGGGCAGCGUAGCCACACGAAGAGUGGAUGUCCGCAAAAAGGAAGAGACGGAGAUACGUGGUUGUACCGAGCUUUUAUUAAAUAAACAACCCAAAGUUA